AACAGAGUUUGAGCCUCUCAGAAUAAAGAAAUAAAGGAACUGAGAAAAGAGAAAUUGAAGGAAGAGCCAAAAAAGAGAAGAAGAAGAUAAGAAUAGAAAAAGAAAAUGGAAGAAACAAGUCUGAAAUUGUCAUUGAAAUUGGAAUGAGGUCCCUGUCAGGUAUUCCUUUUUAUACAAGUAUAUACUCUAGUAAUUGCUUCUAACAUCGAAACUACUCAUGGAAUCGUCUGUAACCAACUAGCUACUUCUCUUUCGCUCCAAAACUAACAACUCUUGAGCCCUGCUCAUCCAUUUUUCUACAUGCUACAUGUCUUUUCAGUCAACACCCAGCUCAAUCAACAACUUAGCUUAUCAUCUCACUGAUGUAGAACAGCCAAGAACAAAGGUUUGAA
rnacentral:misc_RNA from 1 species